rnacentral:rRNA from 1 species
CCUAUGGGUGGCAGCAGUGAGGAAUAUUGGUCAAUGGGCGUGAGCCUGAACCAGCCAAGUCGCGUGAGGGAAGAAGGUACUGAGUAUUGUAAACCUCUUUUGCCAGGGGACAAAGGCGGCCACGGGUGGCCGUAAGAGGGUACCUGGAGAAAAAGCAUCGGCUAACUCCGUGCCAGCAGCCGCGGUAAUACGGAGGAUGCGAGCGUUAUCCGGAUUUAUUGGGUUUAAAGGGUGCGCAGGCGGCGUGUCAAGUCAGCGGUAAAAUGUCGGGGCUCAACCCCGGCCGGCCGUUGAAACGGGCGGGAUUGAGUGGGGGAGAAGUAUGCGGAAUGCGUGGGGUAGCGGUGAAAUGCAGAGAUAUCACGAAGAACGCCGAUUGCGAAGGCAGCAUACCGGCUCCACACUGACGCUGAGGCACGAAAGCGUGGGUAUCGAACAGGAUUAGAUACCCUGGUAGUC